CCCUGUUCUGUAACACCCCUCUGCAGUAGAUGAAUAUCCUCCCUGCUGGGUGACACCCCUCUGCAGUAGAUUAAUAUCCUCCCUGCUGAGUGACACCCCUCUGCAGUGGAUGAAUAUCCUCCCUGCUGGGUGACACCCCUCUGCAGUAGAUGAAUAUCCUCCCUGCUGGGUGACACCCCUCUGCAGUGGAUGAAUAUCCUCCCUGCUGGGUGACACCCCUCUGCAGUAGAUGAAUAUCCUCCCUGCUGGGUGACACCCCUCUGCAGUAGAUGAAUAUCCUCCCUGCUGGGUGACACCCCUCUGCAGUGGAUGAAUAUCCUCCCUGCUGGGUGACACCGCCUUCCCCUCUGUUGUGACAUUAGCCUUCCCCUCUGUUGUGACAUUAGCCUUCCCCUCUGUUGUGACAUUAGCCUUCCCCUCUGUUGUGACAUUAGCCUUCCCCUCUGUUGUGACAUUAGCCUUCCCCUCUGUUGUGACAUUAGCCUUCCCCUCUGUUGACAUUAGCCUUCCCCUCUGUUGUGACAUUAGCCUUCCCCUCUGUUGUGACAUUAGCCUUCCCCUCUGUUGUGACAUUAGCCUUCCCCUCUGUUGUGACAUUAGCCUUCCCCUCUGUUGUGACAUUAGCCUUCCCCUCUGUUGUCCCAGGUUGUGACAUUAGCCUUUCCCUCUGUUGUGACAUUAUCCUUUCCCUCUGUUGUGACAUUAGCCUUUCCCUCUGUUGUGACAUUAGCCUUUCCGUCUGUUGUCCCAGGUUUUGACAUUAGCCUUCCCCUCUGUGACAUUAGCCUUCCCCCUGUUGUCCCAGGUUGUGACAUUAGCCUUCCCCUCUGUUGUCCCAGGUUGUGACAUUAGCCUUCUCCUUUGUUGUCCCAGGUUGUGACAUUAGCCUUCCCCUCUGUUGUCCCAGGUUGUGACAUUAGCCUUCCCCUCUGUUGUCCCAGGUUGUGACAUUAGCCUUCCCCUCUGUUGUCCCAGGUUGUGACAUUAGCCUUCCCCUCUGUUGUGACAUUAGCCUUCCCCUCUGUUGUGACAUUAGCCUUUCCCUCUGUUGUGACAUUAGCCUUUCCCUCUGUUGUGACAUUAGCCUUUCCCUCUGUUGUCCCAGGUUGUGACAUUAGCCUUCCCCCUGUUGUCCCAGGUUGUGACAUUAGCAUUUCCCCCUGUUGUGACAUUAGCCUUCCCCUCUGUUGUCCCAGGUUGUGACAUUAGCCUUCCCCUCUGUUGUCCCAGGUUGUGACAUUAGCCUUCCCCUCUGUUGUCCCAGGUUGUGACAUUAGCCUUCCCCUCUGUUGUCCCAGGUUGUGACAUUAGCCUUCCCCUCUGUUGUCCCAGGUUGUGACAUUAGCCUUCCCCUCUGUUGUGACAUUAGCCUUCCCCUCUGUUGUGACAUUAGCCUUCCCCUCUGUUGUGACAUUAGCCUUCCCCUCUGUUGUCCCAGGUUGUGACAUUAGCCUUCCCUCUGUUGUGACAUUAGCCUUUCCCUCUGUUGUGACAUUAGCCUUCCCCUCUGUUGUCCCAGGUUGUGACAUUAGCCUUCUCCUUUGUUGUCCCAGGUUGUGACAUUAGCCUUCCCCUCUGUUGUCCCAGGUUGUGACAUUAGCCUUCCCCUCUGUUGUCCCAGGUUGUGACAUUAGCCUUCCCCUCUGUUGUGACAUUAGCCUUCCCCUCUGUUGUGACAUUAGCCUUUCCCUCUGUUGUGACAUUAGCCUUCCCCUCUGUUGUGACAUUAGCCUUCCCCUCUGUUGUGACAUUAGCCUUCCCCUCUGUUGUGACAUUAGCCUUCCCCUCUGUUGUGACAUUAGCCUUCCCCUCUGUUGUGACAUUAGCCUUCCCCUCUGUUGUGACAUUGUGCCUUCCCCUCUGUUGUGACAUUAGCCUUUCCCUCUGUUGUGACAUUAGCCUUCCCCUCUGUUGUCCCAGGUUGUGACAUUAGCCUUCCCCUCUGUUGUGACAUUAGCCUUCCCCUCUGUUGUGACAUUAGCCUUCCCCUCUGUUGUGACAUUAGCCUUUCCCUCUGUUGUGACAUUAGCCUUCCCCUCUGUUGUGACAUUAGCCUUCCCCUCUGUUGUCCCAGGUUGUGACAUUAGCCUUCCCCUCUGUUGUCCCAGGUUGUGACAUUAGCCUUCCCCUCUGUUGUCCCAGGUUGUGACAUUAGCCUUCCCCUCUGUUGUCCCAGGUUGUGACAUUAGCCUUCCCCCUGUUGUCCCAGGUUGUGACAUUAGCAUUUCCCUCUGUUGUCCCAGGUUGUGACAUUAGCCUUCCCCUCUGUUGUGACAUUAGCCUUCCCCUCUGUUGUGACAUUAGCCUUCCCCUCUGUUGUGACAUUAGCCUUCCCCUCUGUUGUGACAUUAGCCUUCCCCUCUGUUGUGACAUUAGCCUUCCCCUCUGUUGUCCCAGGUUGUGACAUUAGCCUUCCCCUCUGUUGUGACAUUAGCCUUCCCCUCUGUUGUCCCAGGUUGUGACAUUAUUCUUCCCCUCUGUUUUUAUUUAUUUUUAUUUAUUUUAUUUUACCUUUAUUUAACCAGGUAGGCAAGUUGAGAACAAGUUCUCAUUUACAAUUGCGA